UACGUAGGGGGCUAGCGUUGUCCGGAAUCAUUGGGCGUAAAGGGCGCGUAGGUGGCCUGGCAAGCGUGCGGUGAAAGCUCGGGGCUCAACCCCGAGUCGGCCGUGCGAACUGCUAUGGCUCGAGCACUGUAGAGGCAGGCGGAAUUCCGGGUGUAGCGGUGGAAUGCGUAGAGAUCCGGAAGAACACCGGUGGCGAAGGCGGCCUGCUGGGCAGUAGCUGACACUGAGGCGCGACAGCGUGGGGAGCGAACAGG
rnacentral:rRNA from 1 species